AUUGAACGCUGGCGGCAUGCCUUACACAUGCAAGUCGAACGGCAGCACGGGAGCAAUCCUGGUGGCGAGUGGCGAACGGGUGAGUAAUAUAUCGGAACGUGCCCAGUCGUGGGGGAUAACGCAGCGAAAGCUGUGCUAAUACCGCAUACGAUCUACGGAUGAAAGCGGGGGAUCGCAAGACCUCGCGCGAUUGGAGCGGCCGAUAUCAGAUUAGCUAGUUGGUGAGGUAAAGGCUCACCAAGGCGACGAUCUGUAGCUGGUCUGAGAGGACGACCAGCCACACUGGAACUGAGACACGGUCCAGACUCCUACGGGAGGCAGCAGUGGGGAAUUUUGGACAAUGGGCGAAAGCCUGAUCCAGCAAUGCCGUGUGCAGGAUGAAGGCCUUCGGGUUGUAAACUGCUUUUGUACGGAACGAAACGGUGAGCUCUAAUACAGUUUGCUAAUGACGGUACCGUAAGAAUAAGCACCGGCUAACUACGUGCCAGCCGCCGCGGUAA
rnacentral:rRNA from 1 species